CUCCUACGGCAGGCAGCAGUGGGGAAUUUUGCGCAAUGGGGGAAACCCUGACGCAGCAACGCCGCGUGGAGGAUGAAAUCCCUUGGGAUGUAAACUCCUUUCGAUCGGGACGAUUAUGUCCGGUACCCGGAACGAACGAAGCCCGGCUAACUUCGUGACCAGCACGCCGCGGUAAUUC
rnacentral:rRNA from 1 species